GGUCACUGGAGGCGGCACUCCAGCAGGGAGUACUGGAGGGGGGACUGGAGGAAGUGGGCCAAAAGGCACACGUUUCCAGUUAUAAGUGGCCUCUGAGUGUCUCCAUAAGAGUGUCACAUUCACAGAAAUACAACUGAGGAGAGAACUCACGGUGUGACACAAGCAGACGGCGGUCACAGAAGCAGUGGCACAGGCAGGCUUAUGUUGUAAUUUCAUGAUCACAACGGACAGCUGAACUGAUCGAACUGCAGCUGGGAUGUGCAGAGUGAGGGUGUCUGUUAUGACAAUUGGUAUGUAAACCUCAGCGUCUGCACCUUUCAUGGCGGUAAGAGACUGAUGCAGGAAGCACAAGGAAGAGAAGUAACUAAAUAUGGUGCCAAGUGAACAUGAUUGCACCUUAUGACACAGAGACGCCCACGCCAACAAUAUGGGGUGGAGUCAGCUGGCGGCGGAGGAACCACCUAGAACGCUCAGAGAGCCAGUGGGAUAAAUUGGAGUGUCUCCUGAGGGCCUCCAAAUAUAGGCAUCAGUCAUGAGGGGGCUGCCUUCUACUAAGAGAAGCAGAAGAGAAAUAAAAGCUAUUUCAAAGAGU